rnacentral:rRNA from 1 species
GGAAUCUUCCGCAAUGGACGAAAGUCUGACGGAGCAACGCCGCGUGAGUGAUGAAGGCUUUCGGGUCGUAAAACUCUGUUGUUAGGGAAGAACAAGUGCUAGUUGAAUAAGCUGGCACCUUGACGGUACCUAACCAGAAAGCCACGGCUAACUACGUGCCAGCAGCCGCGGUAAUACGUAGGUGGCAAGCGUUAUCCGGAAUUAUUGGGCGUAAAGCGCGCGCAGGUGGUUUCUUAAGUCUGAUGUGAAAGCCCACGGCUCAACCGUGGAGGGUCAUUGGAAACUGGGAGACUUGAGUGCAGAAGAGGAAAGUGGAAUUCCAUGUGUAGCGGUGAAAUGCGUAGAGAUAUGGAGGAACACCAGUGGCGAAGGCGACUUUCUGGUCUGUAACUGACACUGAGGCGCGAAAGCGUGGGGAGCAAACAGGAUUAGAUACCCUGGUAGUCCACGCCGUAAACGAUGAGUGCUAAGUGUUAGAGGGUUUCCGCCCUUUAGUGCUGAAGUUAACGCAUUAAGCACUCCGCCUGGGGGAGUACGGCCGCAAGGCUGAAACUCAAAGGAAUUGACGGGGGCCCGCACAAGCGGGUGGAGCAUGUGGUUUAAUUUCGAAGCAACGCGAAGAACCUUUACCAGGUCUUGACAUCCUCUGACAACCUAGAGAUAGGCUUCUCCUUCGGAGCAGAGUGACAGUGGUGCAUGGUUGUCGUCAGCUCGUGUCUGAGAUGUUGGUAGUCC